AUGGAGUUCAUGUAGGAAAAAUUUUUAUCAUGAUAUGUUAGAGUUCUCGAGAGACUCUUCUGGUCUUGACUCACUGGUGGGGUCAGCCAGGGUCCCCAUUUGUGUUCAGAUCAGAAACAUGU